rnacentral:siRNA from 1 species
UACAGUGGAGGAGUACAUCAGA